CCUACGGGUGGCAGCAGUGGGGAAUAUUGGGCAAUGGGCGCAAGCCUGACCCAGCAACGCCGCGUGAAGGAAGAAGGCUUUCGGGUUGUAAACCUCUUUUAUCAGGGACGAAGCAAGUGACGGUACCUGAUGAUUAAGCCACGGCUAACUACGUGCCAGCAGCCGCGGUAAUACGUAGGUGGCAAGCGUUAUCCGGAUUUACUGGGUGUAAGGGGCGAGUAGGCGGGAGUGUAAGUCAGAUGUGAAAGUUAUGGGCUCAACCCAUAGAAUGCAUUUGAGACUGGACUUCUUGAGUGCAGGAGAGGCAGGCGGAAUUCGGGGUGUAGCGGUGAAAUGCGUAGAUAUACGGAAGAACACCGGUGGCGAAGGCAGAUUGCUAGACAGUAACUGACGCUGAGGCGCGAAAGCGUGGGGAGCAAACAGGAUUAGAUACCCCAGUAGUC
rnacentral:rRNA from 1 species